CCUACGGGUGGCAGCAGUGGGGAAUAUUGGGCAAUGGGCGCAAGCCUGACCCAGCAACGCCGCGUGAAGGAAGAAGGCUUUCGGGUUGUAAACUUCUUUUAAGGGGGAAGAGCAGAAGACGGUACCCCUUGAAUAAGCCACGGCUAACUACGUGCCAGCAGCCGCGGUAAUACGUAGGUGGCAAGCGUUGUCCGGAUUUACUGGGUGUAAAGGGCGUGCAGCCGGGACUGCAAGUCAGAUGUGAAAUCCGCGGGCUUAACCCGCGAACUGCAUUUGAAACUGCGGAUCUUGAGUAUCGGAGAGGUUAUCGGAAUUCCUUGUGUAGCGGUGAAAUGCGUAGAUAUAAGGAAGAACACCAGUGGCGAAGGCGGAUAACUGGACGGCAACUGACGGUGAGGCGCGAAAGCGUGGGGAGCAAACAGGAUUAGAUACCCUUGUAGUC
rnacentral:rRNA from 1 species